AAAAAAAAAGAAAAGAAAAUUAGAAUAACUUGAUUCAAUUAUGUUGAUAUUGUUGAUGCCUUUAAGGGUUGUGAAAUAUACAGUUUGUGUUGCUUAUUCUUUUCAAGGAGGAAGCUUAAUUUUAGGUGAGAUGCUAUCGAGUUUUUAAUUGGAAUUCUGAAUUUUGGCAUGUCCUAAACUCUAAUGCAGCUCAUAAAUUUUGUUUUAGUUUAGUUAUUGGACUUGAAGUGGAAAUCGAUGAAGGGGAUGGAAAUUAUAUUAUUUAUGCACACUAAAGGUUUUUUUUUUU
rnacentral:misc_RNA from 1 species